GAUGAACGCUGGCGGCGUGCCUAAUACAUGCAAGUCGAGCGAACAGACGAGGAGCUUGCUCCUCUGACGUUAGCGGCGGACGGGUGAGUAACACGUGGAUAACCUACCUAUAAGACUGGGAUAACUUCGGGAAACCGGAGCUAAUACCGGAUAAUAUAUUGAACCGCAUGGUUCAAUAGUGAAAGACGGUUUUGCUGUCACUUAUAGAUGGAUCCGCGCCGCAUUAGCUAGUUGGUAAGGUAACGGCUUAACAAGGCAACGAUGGGUAGCCGACCUGGGAGGGUGAGCGGCCACACUGGAACUGAGACACGGUCCAGACUCCUACGGGAGGCAGCAGUAGGGAAUCUUCCGCGAUGGGCGAAAGCCUGACGGAGCAACGCCGCGUGAGUGAUGAAGGUCUUCGGAUCGUAAAACUCUGUUAUUAGGGAAGAACAAAUGUGUAAGUACCUAUGAACGUCUUGACGGUACCUAAUCAGAAAGCCACGGCUAACUACGUG
rnacentral:rRNA from 1 species